rnacentral:rRNA from 1 species
GACGAACGCUGGCGGCGUGCUUAACACAUGCAAGUCGAACGGAAAGGCCCUGCUUUUGUGGGGUGCUCGAGUGGCGAACGGGUGAGUAACACGUGAGUAACCUGCCCUUGACUUUGGGAUAACUUCAGGAAACUGGGGCUAAUACCGGAUAGGAGCUCCUGCUGCAUGGUGGGGGUUGGAAAGUUUCGGCGGCUGGGGUUGGACUCGCGGCUUAUCAGCUUGUUGGUGGGGUAGUGGCUUACCAAGGCCUUGACGGGGAGCCGGCCUGAGAGGGUGACCGGCCACAUUGGGCCUGAGAUGCGGCCCGGACUCCUUCGGGAGGCAGCGGUGGAGAAUAUUGCACAAUGGGCGGAAGCCUGAUGCAGCAACGCCGCGUGCGGGAUGACGGCCUUCGGGUUGUAAACCGUUUUCGCCUGUGACGAAGCGUGAGUGACGGUAAUGGGUAAAGAAGCACCGGCUAACUACGUG